UACGUAGGGUGCGAGCGUUAAUCGGAAUUACUGGGCGUAAAGCGUGCGCAGGCGGCGCGUUAAGACAGGUGUGAAAGCCCCCGAGCUUAACUUGGGAAUUGCGCUUGUGACUGGCGUGCUGGAGUGUGGCAGAGGGAGGUGGAAUUCCACGUGUAGCAGUGAAAUGCGUAGAGAUGUGGAGGAACACCGAUGGCGAAGGCAGCCUCCUGGGCCAGCACUGACGCUCAUGCACGAAAGCGUGGGAGC
rnacentral:rRNA from 1 species